rnacentral:lncRNA from 1 species
GAAAGAACAGUUUUAGGACAGGGAAACAGUCUUGGAAAUACGUGUUUGGGCGUGAGAUGAAGACGCACCUGCUAAAAUCGGUUUCCUAUUGAACAUACUUCUUUCAUUAAAUUUUAUAGUUUGAUUACAUUUUAGGAUAUCUGAGGAGUCAAUAGAAACGUAUUUUGACUUGUUGAAACAAAGUUUAGGGGUAGAUUUUCGGAUUCCAAUCUCUACAUGUUGAACGAGUGGAUUACUCAAAUCGAUGGCGCCAACUAAACUGACUUUUUGGGAUAUAAAGAAGGAUUUUAUCUAACAAAAUGACACUACCUGUUAAAGCUGGGACCCUUUGGAUGAAUAAUCAGAGGAAGAUUUUCAAAAACAACGGUGUCAUGGAGCAGCUCCUGGGAUGAAUGGAAAUGCCUCUGGGAGUUCAAUCAAAGGAUACAAUUCAGGACCAUGCCCCAGGACUACCUGGCCUGAUGACUCCUUGCUGUCCCCAGUUCACCUGGCCGUGCUGCUGCUCCAGUUCCAACUGUUCUGCCUGCGGCUAUGGAACCCUGACCUGUUCACCGGACGUUCUACCUGUCCCAGACCUGUUGUUCCAGACCUGCUGGAACCCUGACCUGUUCACCGGACGUGCUACCUGUCCCAGACCUGCUGUUUUCAACUCUCUAGAGACAGCAGGAGCGGAAGAGAUACUCUCAAAGAUCGGCUAUGAAAAAGCCAACUGACACUUACUAUUGUGUUACUGACUUGUUACACCCUCGACAACUACUAUGGUUAUUAUUAUUUGACCAUGCUGGUCAUUUAUGAACAUUUGAACAUCUUGGCCAUGUGCUGUUAUAAUCUACACCCGGCACAGCCAGAAGAGGACUGGCCACCCCUCAUAGCCUGGUUCCUCUCUAGGUUUCUUCCUAGGUUUUGGCCUUUCUAGAGAGUUUUUCCUAGCCACCGUGCU